GAUGAACGCUGGCGGCGUGCCUAAUACAUGCAAGUCGAGCGAACGGACGAGAAGCUUGCUUUUCUGAUGUUAGCGGCGGACGGGUGAGUAACACGUGGAUAACCUACCUAUCAGACUGGGAUAACUUCGGGAAACCGGAGCUAAUACCGGAUAAUAUUUUGAACCGCAUGGUUCAAAAGUGAAAGACGGUCUUGCUGUCACUUAUAGAUGGAUCCGCGCUGCAUUAGCUAGUUGGUAAGGUAACGGCUUACCAAGGCAACGAUGCAUAGCCGACCUGAGAGGGUGAUCGGCCACACUGGAACUGAGACGCGGUCCAGACUCCUACGGGAGGCAGCAGUAGGGAAUCUUCCGCAAUGGGCGAAAGCCUGACGGAGCAACGCCGCGUGAGUGAUGAAGGUCUUCGGAUCGUAAAACUCUGUUAUUAGGGAAGAACAUAUGUGUAAGUAACUGUGCACAUCUUGACGGUACCUAAUCAGAAAGCCACGGCUAACUACGUG
rnacentral:rRNA from 1 species